rnacentral:rRNA from 1 species
GGGAAACCGGAGCUAAUACCGGAUAAUAUAUUGAACCGCAUGGUUCAAUAGUGAAAGACGGUUUUGCUGUCACUUAUAGAUGGAUCCGCGCCGCAUUAGCUAGUUGGUAAGGUAACGGCUUACCAAGGCAACGAUGCGUAGCCGACCUGAGAGGGUGAUCGGCCACACUGGAACUGAGACACGAUCCAG